rnacentral:lncRNA from 1 species
GAAAGAUGAAAGUUAAACAACAUUCUAAAUUUCAAGUUCAGACUCUCUCUCUAUUUCUUUGGAAGAAAUGACUUGGCAAGGUAAAAGAGAAAGCAACGUCCUGAAUGCUUCUAAUAGGGAUAACAUCUCACACUAUUGAGGUCAAAUAGACACAGGUAAAGUGAAAUGGAGAAAUGAGGUAAUUAUUCAUGUAAUCUUAGACUUAAAAAGAAAGCUUUCAGUCAAACUAUUUAAAAAAUUGAGAAAAUGUCCCCUUCAUCUUGACUUAUUUAAAUAAUUAUCUUAAUUCACCUCUUCGUCUUUGUCCCAUAGAUAAAAUGCCUUUUCAUAUUAAAAUCUAUACAACUACAUUAUUAGGAUAUAUUAAGUAAAAGUCUAUCUCAUUAUCAUAUAUUUGGAGAUGAUCGUUUAAUCUACGUGCCUCAACAUUCUCUUCUGCAAGCUGGAACAACAUUUCUAGAUAUUGUGGGAAAUGCAAAGGAUUAACAAAUUAACUGUAAAUAAACCAAGGCA